CUGAGGGACACGCAGCCCUGAGGGGCGAGGGAACGCGGGGUAUCACAGGCCAAAGGGUGGAGGCGUCGUGAGGGAGAACCAGCCCUGGGCGCUGAAGGGGACACACCAUCCCGAAGCACAGCGGAUGAGUGGAACACGGGACAGCGCCUCGAGGAGGGCUCAGCGCUGAGGAGCGGAGGGAGAUUGAGGAGGCAAGAAUACUGAGAUGCCCCACAAUACUGCAGGUGCUUCUGAGAUACUGAAUCAGUGCAGCUGGGGACACCACAGACUUCUCUCACCUUCAUCCUGCCACCAGGGAAGGAUAUGUCCUUGACACAAGGAGGCUGGCAGGCCUCUCAGAAGUUACUCAGGUGGCUCUGCUGUCUGACAGGGGAGAGCAGAACAAGAGGAUGACACAGUGACACAGGUAAGUAAUCACACAGGCAAACAACAAAGUUUGUUGGCAGUUCACUGAAGGGAGAGGCUAUCUACCUGACUGCAUUCAGGUAUCUCUUCCCAAGGAAAGCACGGCAGCCAAAAUGGGAAGGGAAUUGUAAGUUGCUAUUAUAAGUGCCCACACAAAGACUGCUACAUACCCUGAUGCUCCACAUACACCUUUUGGAAUUAAAAACCCUUCAACAGGCAAAGCUAGGAUUGUGUCCUAGUCUGUUCUUAGGCAAGUAGUCCCAGCUUUGCAGUGACAUUCCUGACAAAAUAAAUUGUGCUUUGCUGUUAGGGAGGAGAAAAUGUCUGAAUUGUAGCAAGUCUAAGAGACAAUUCUAGCUGCAUGUAUUGAUUAGGAGUGAACAUGUGGGUUGGUAACUUCUAUCCAGAUGUAAGAAGGGAAGAGUCAUGGAAUUCUAUCCUUGUAGAGCUAAAGGAGCAGUAUUUCACAAAGAUUAUAACUCUGGAUAACAAAAAUAAAAAAGAUAAAAUCAUGUAUUACUCUCAUAUAGUUGUCUUCCCCAGUGCAAGCUACAUUUUGACUGCCACAUCUCAAAUUUUUUAAGAUGCUUGCUGUUAGCUCACAUGUGAAGGCUGUAUGUGUGCAUCCUGGCAUGCACUCCUGCAAACCAUUCCCCUGCUGAGAACUUCACAGGACUUUGGAGCGCAGACCAAACAGCUUUGCAGUACCUGACCUCACUGCACAGAGAAUCCUGUACAUACUGCAAAGUUACUUCUUGUGCAGGAUGGUGGUGAGCCUAUGUAGUAGCUGAUUGGACAUGAGUGGGUGAUCUAAUAAAGAUACUCAACGGUGUUGUGCUUAGAAGCACUUAUUGAAAGAACUGUAUUAACCAAGGUAAGAAAAAUCACAUUAUGUUCUGGCAUUGGGAGUCAGAAACUUCAGUCUUGGUGUCAGGCUUAGCUGCCUGCACCAGCUUGAACAGAAAGGGGUAAGGGUAGGGUCAGAAUUUUUUGAGGUGUCUGGAUGAUGGAGUGACUAAAGAAUUUUGCCUGGUAUUAUAGGUUGUAAGUUAAUAGAACCUUCUAGAAUCUCCAAUCUCUUACCACCUAGAUAGAAACUAUUUCUGUGCAGUUUUCAGUGGCCUGCUGACCCCCAGAGGGAUUCCUGGCUCCACAUCUUGGACGUGUCAGCUUUCCUAUUUUCCUUUGGAGACAGGAGUUACCCAAGGUGGGCUGGGUGGAAGAGUAAAGCUGCCUCCCAUGAUUGCAAAGGAAGAAUCCCAGCAGUGCCAGUGCAAGGGGCAUAUGCUGCUUUUUCUGCCUCAGAUCCCAGAUGAGAAGAACUGGGUAAGAGUUUCUGAGUUGUGGGAGGUGAGCUGAGGCAGAGUUGGCCCAGAAAACAGACUUGAGAAUCAGUUGUCUCUGCAGUUCUGGUGGGUGGUGAUGCUUUGCAAACCUUCAAAGCUCAGGCAAUCAGUUCCAGAUGCUGAACUCAGGGCUCGGCUCUAGCGAGGGACUCUGACCUGCUCCUGAAGCUGAAUGGCGCUGACUGCUGUCCGUCCUUAACCGAGACCGCGCUCAUGGUCCCGGCCUCGUUCCCUGCAGGCUCGCAGGUCUGUGGGCUGGGCGGCAGAGGGCACUCCAAAACAAGCCACCGUGCCUGGGACACAGGACAGAGCAACUGAGCAGACACAAAUCUGCCGUUCCUGUAAAGCGGGCAAAUCUGGCAGGGAAAACCUUGCCGUGACCUUUACUUGUGACAUCUGUCACGGCACACACUGAGUGCGAGAGCUAGCGACUACCUGAAUAUCAGAUAUGAAAUUGCUCAAGAGCCUGGCCGUUUGUAUUCCAGCAUAUUGUGCUGGGGAGCUUCUUGACCUUCCAAGGGACAAAAAGGAAAUGCAUUUUGCUGGCUCUGCAUUGUUGUGUCAGGUGAAGCCUUUAAAUAUAUGAGUGUCCUCUGAUAUAGCAAGCAUGCAGAAAUCCAUGGUACAUUUACCAAAAACCCAGAGGUUUAUUGUGGUAGCUCUCCUUGUUAUCACACUGUAUUGGAUGAGCAGCAGCUGUAAUCAGCUCCCGAGGUGGCUACAUUUGUAUUGCUGUGCAUGAAUAUUUUUGGAAAGCUUGUUUGGGGUGAAAGGUACUCUAUAUGCAGGUUGUGAUGUAGGUUAUCUGCUAUUUUUAAGAUUGUGUACUUUGUAAAAAUUACAGCAUGCCCCACAUAACAGUAGCUGAGCAUUCUCUCUUACC